CCUUUCUUCACCGCUAGGCGCCUGGGCGAGGCAGAGCUGUGGCCGCCGCCGCGGGGGACAAGGCGAGGUGGAGCAAAAAGCGCGACCGCCGCCGCCGCAUCUGCAAGCGAACCAGGCGGACUGAGCCUUGGCGCCGCUUGUUCACUCGUCACCAUCUCACCAUGGAAGGGAGCGGACUCCAGCGGCGGUCUCGCAUAGGGGCGAGCGCGGGCGUCCCCGGGAGCUUGGCCGGCCCGCGUGCGGCUCCAUCGCUGCUGGUUUCUGUCGGAGCUCGUCCACACCGCUCCGCUGAGCCGCGCGCGAGGACGGAGCUGGCGCUACAGCGUGGAAGGGAGCUCGGCCGCGGAAGAGGCGGGGCCCUGGAAGAGAUGAAAUCUAAGGGUCUUUUGCCGAAUAUUACAACCUAUGUCACACUCACUGGAGCUAUGUAUGCGACACAGAGAAUGCAGGUUGGAGAGAAACUACUGGAGGAUAUACAAGAAAGGGGCCUUAUUCCAUCUAAGCAUUCUGAAAGUCUCGAAAGGAGGAUGGAAGAUGCAAUUAGAAGGUUAAACAUGAUAAGAAACUGCAGAAAGGGAAUGCCUGUUAAGGAGGUUGAGGUAUUGCUUGUAGAAAGCUUCCAGUGAUUGAAAUUCCACUGGAACUUACCAAAGUCAAAUGAAUUUCAGCAUUUGACCAAUAUGGUUGGUAGAAAACUGUGGGUACAUUUCCUGGUUUAUGCCCUGUGGUACUGUGACAUUUUAAUGCGAUUUGCCUUAACAGUUAAUUCAGGUCAGCUUUUGUGUUAUGUAUUUUUAUCCUACUCUUUUUGUCAUAAUACUAUUUCUUCACUUUUAAUCAUCAGUUUGGUGUUUCCAGAAAGACAAAAUUUACCUGGGGAGGAACAUCCCAUAUGCUUGAGCACGGGCAAUUUCCACGUUUGUAUCUUUAUUUGCCUGUGGUUUGUCAUUCAGUACAUAAGAAUGAACAUAGCCAUGCAAUCUGGAGCACACUUACUCACUAAAGAGAACAUAGACAAAGGCCAUCAGGUGGAGGGUAGCAGGCUAACAGCGUCUUGGACUCUUGGUCCGAGGCAGGGGCUACUGAACGACAGACAGGGACAGCAGGCGGUGGAAAUGCUGUCUCGAGCUCAACAUGUGCUUUCACUUGUUGGAGGAUAUGUCUCCUUGGAUAGACUAUUAAGUGCUAUAUUUCUGUUGCAGUGAGAAUGUACUCCUCGCAGAGGUUCAGUAUCAAUCUUAUGUUCCAAUUACCAGGAGCUUUUUAAAUGUCUGUCACUCGAAGAGAAGACCUUGGAUGGACAUUCCAAUGUAUACGAUUUACAAGAUGGAUGGCCAUCACGCGUUCACUUAGUCAAAUGCUUAUGGUUUCUUGUUGGAUCAUUUGUUUCGAUCUCUGAAGCUGUCUCUGCAACAAAGAUAAAGGAAAAUUUACAAGGCAGAAUAUUAAGAUUUCAGACAAAACGCUGGACGGUACCUUGGACUGAAAAAACCAUUGCUCAGGUUAGUUCUUCCAUGCAUCUUCUGAUGUUCGGUGUUUCCCCCUCUGGCUGUUGCACUAAUGCCCAUUGGCAGCUUAUUUUUUGUGAUUGAAAUUUGAAUGACAUGUUUUUUCCACUAAGGGCCAUGCCCGAAUUUCAUUACUCCAUGAAGCAACGAAAUUACAGAGUUUGUCUAGAAGACCGCACAGUUCAGAUAGAGAACAAAUGACUAAGAGACACUAGGCAAACUUGGCAUACAGGACCCGCCACCUGUGCCACAAAAGCUACCCAGCGAUCACCAGAUACUAAGUGAUACCAACAGAAAAAAAAAAAGAAAGGAAACACCGAACGCAACACAACUACAUCUGAUUGAAAAUGGUAAAAGCUUUGGACGAUUUUUCGAGCAGAAGAUGACAGGCUUCAGCUACUGGAUCAACACCACCCUGUGUCUUCGGUUGUGGCCUUCGUAGGAUGAAAGUGAAGUGCCGCUUCCUUCUGAGCUUCAGCUCCUGUUUCCAUAUUCUCCUUGUCUUCUACUUUUUGCAGACCUGCCCAAUAUAUCAAGAAAGAAGAUGCUGAACAUAUAAUCUCUUGUACCUAUUUUUGUUAUUAGGAAUCACUUGCUUAAAUAAAAAGUGUAAUAAGUAUGAGUAGAAAAAGUAUGUUAAGUCAAA